AUCACCUGCUGACUCCCAGGGCUAUACCCUGAAGACUUGAUGCUUGGUGGCAUAAACUUAAUAAUUCAUGUGAAAGAAAAAAAAAGCUUCAUGUAGAAACUGCUUCCCCAUACUUCUGGAGACUGAUGAGUCCAAAACCAGGGCACCUGGAGCUCCUGUGUCUGUUGUUGGGUCUCACACUCACUGCAGC